UAAGGAAUAUUGGUCAAUGGACGCAAGUCUGAACCAGCCAUGCCGCGUGAAGGAUGAAGGUCCUCUGGAUUGUAAACUUCUUUUAUCUGGGACGAAAACGGGAUUUUUAUCUCAAUUGACGGUACCAGAGGAAUAAGCAUCGGCUAACUUCGUGCCAGCAGCCGCGGUAAGACGAAGGAUGCAAGCGUUAUCCGGAUUCAUUGGGUUUAAAGGGUGCGUAGGCGGGCUUGUAAGUCAGUGGUGAAAUCUCUCAGCUUAACUGAGAAACUGCCAUUGAUACUGCAGGCCUAGAGUAUAGAUGACGUUGGCGGAAUAUGACAUGUAGUGGUGAAAUACUUAGAUAUGUCAUAGAACACCGAUUGCGAAGGCAGCUAACGAAACUAUAACUGACGCUGAGGCACGAAAGUGCGGGGAUCAAACA
rnacentral:rRNA from 1 species